rnacentral:lncRNA from 1 species
AUGUUGAACUUAUGAAAACUGCGAGUCUUUUAAAUUCACAAUCUCAUGGAGACAACAAUUAACACUACGGUACCAUUGUUAGCUCAACUUGUUUAUGGAACGUACAGCGAACUUAAAACAAAGAAAUGUUUGACGCAUGAUCAAGGUAGUGGAAGUCCUUGCUUAAAAUGCAAUGAGCUGUGUAGUGGAUUAGAAUUGCAUUUUUGGAG